rnacentral:misc_RNA from 1 species
GAUGAAGAACGCAGCGAAAUACGAUAAGUAGUGUGAAUUGCAGAAUUCAGUGAAUCAUCGAAUCUUUGAACGCACAUUGCGCCCUUUGGUAUUCCUUAGGGCAUGCCUGUUCGAGCGUCAUUUAAACCUUCAAGCUAAGCUUGGUGUUGGGUGACUGUCCGCUUCACGGCGGACUCGCCUCAAAAUUAUUGGCGGCCGGUACAUUGGCUUCGAGCGCAGCAGAAACGCGAACUCGGGCCCGUCGUAUUGGCUCCCAGAAGCUAUCUUCACAAUUUUGACCUCGGAUCAGGUAGGGAUACCCGCUGAACUUAAGCAUAUCUAUAAGCGGAGGA